CCAUGAAGUUCUCAAGGUUUUUGCCUUGCUUGGCACCAACCAUCGUGGCAGGUUCUAAAACCACAGCGAUUCGGAUGUUUGAAUGUAAACAUUAGCUGAAGAUCUAAACCUGGCUCUGGAUGAUGCUUCUGGCUACUGCUGCCACAUGAGCACAUGAGGUGUGGGUCGACUUUGGUGCUUGGAGUCUUAUACUGUUUUUCCUUUGGAGGAUUUUGCUUUGGAGCAUUUCUCAAAUUUCAACAGAGGAAGUGGAUUUUCUACAAACAGCACAAUACAUUGGAUUUCUUGCAAAAAGCCUGUACUUUUCUCAAAAUCCUCAGUUCAUCUCUUAAAAGUAAGUCUUUGUGUCAAUGAACAUUUUAUUUCCAUCACAAAGUCUUUUUGUCAUUGUUUACAAACAAGAUCAUCCAAAAGUUUAGGCAUGUUGUCAGUAUAAUGCUGCACAGUUUUAGUAUUUCUUGAUAUAAAAUAUAGUUGAUUAUAUAAUUUGAA